rnacentral:rRNA from 1 species
UACGUAGGGGGCUAGCGUUGUCCGGAAUCAUUGGGCGUAAAGCGCGCGUAGGCGGCCCGAUAAGUCUGCUGUGAAAGUCCAGGGCUCAACCCUGGAAUGCCGGUGGAUACUGUCGGGCUAGAGUUCGGAAGAGGCAAGUGGAAUUCCUGGUGUAGCGGUGGAAUGCGCAGAUAUCAGGAGGAGCACCUAUAGCGAAGGCAGCUUGCUGGGACGACACUGACGCUGAGGCGCGAAAGCGUGGGGAGCGAACAGG